rnacentral:rRNA from 1 species
AUUGAACGCUGGCGGCAGGCCUAACACAUGCAAGUCGAGCGGGGUUUUCGGACCUAGCGGCGGACGGGGGAGUAAUGCGUAGGAAGCUGCCCGAUAGAGGGGGAUACCAGUUGGAAACGACUGUUAAUACCGCAUAAUGUCUACGGACCAAAGUGUGGGACCUUCGGGCCACAUGCUAUCGGAUGCGCCGGAGUGGGAUUAGCUAGUUGGUGAGGUAACGGAUCACCAAGGCGGCGAUCUCUUGCUGGUUUGAGAGGGUAGUAAGCCAACCUGGAACUGAGACACGGUCCAGACUCCUACGGGAGGCAGCAGUGGGGAAUAUUGGACAAUGGGCGCAAGCCGGAUCCAGCCAUGCCGCGUGUGUGAAGAAGGCCUUCGGGUUGUAAAGCACUUUCAGCGAGGAGGAAGGGUGGUGUGUUAAUAGCACAUCAUUUUGACGUUACUCGCAGAAGAAGCACCGGCUAACUCUGUGCCAGCAGCCGCAGUAAGAC